rnacentral:misc_RNA from 1 species
CAAAAUUUUCAGUGGAUUAAGAAUUAGGAAAAGUUUUGAAUCACCAUUAUUGUUGUGGUCAGCAUUUUAAGAAUGUUGGCUAAACAACUAGUUUUAUGAAAUUUCUGUAUUGCAUUAAUUGCUUGCAUGAUUAAUAUCUAAGUGGAUGUCACCUAAAGGCUUAGCUGCUUGCUCUGUGAGUGUAGUUGCAACUUGUUCCAGACACGCACACUUAUAGACGUG